GUCAGUGUCCUGGUUAUGAGCUUUUGGCUGAGUUCCUUUAUUUAUGAUGUGUGGCUUGUAGAUCCUUCAAAUGUUCCACAGAAAAGUUCACCCUGAAAACUCAAUAGCAACUCAAAAGUCUAACAAGACCCAAAAGACUGAAAACAAGAAGAAAUUAACCCAUAACGGGGACUAUCACAAUGGAGAUCCGGUGCCCCCAAACGAAGAAAUAGUGUCAUAUCCAAAAAUGGCACUUUCAAAGGAGAGCAUACGACGCUACAAGAGCCAAUCUAACCCACCGCAGUUUAUACUCAGCAGCAGCGAUUCAAAUGGGAACAGGGAGCACUGGAUCAAAACAGAUGCAGACUACCUAGUGCUGGAGCUCUAAAAGGCAGAAGUAGCAGUUCGGUGUAGUUUGUCACCCCUGAGCAGUGAGCAGUGAGCGUUGAGCAGUGAUAUCAUCUUUAUAAGAAUCACCUUGUUGAUGAUGGUUGCCAAUGGCAUUAUGUGUUAAUUAGCUUGAGUUAAACAAUUAAAUAAAAGAGGCACUCCUCUUAUAAGCCUAUCUAUGAGUGAUCAAUUUUAAAUGUAAGGUACAUCUGUUUCAGUAAGUAAUCAUAAUUUGGCCAUAAUGGCAUUGUAACUAUAAA